rnacentral:rRNA from 1 species
AGUGAACGCUGGCGGUAGGCCUAACACAUGCAAGUCGAACGGCAGCACAGUAAGAGCUUGCUCUUACGGGUGGCGAGUGGCGGACGGGUGAGGAAUACAUCGGAAUCUACUUUUUCGUGGGGGAUAACGUAGGGAAACUUACGCUAAUACCGCAUACGACCUACGGGUGAAAGCAGGGGAUCUUCGGACCUUGCGCGAUUGAAUGAGCCGAUGUCGGAUUAGCUAGUUGGCGGGGUAAAGGCCCACCAAGGCGACGAUCCGUAGCUGGUCUGAGAGGAUGAUCAGCCACACUGGAACUGAAACACGGUCCAGACUCCUACGGGAGGCAGCAGUGGGGAAUAUUGGACAAUGGGCGCAAGCCUGAUCCAGCCAGACCGCGUGGGUGAAGAAGGCCUUCGGGUUGUAAAGCCCUUUUGUUGGGAAAGAAAAGCAGCAGGUUAAUACCCCGCUGUUCUGACGGUACCCAAAGAAUAAGCACCGGCUAACUUCGUG